rnacentral:rRNA from 1 species
GUCGAACGCUGGCGGCGUGCCUAAUACAUGCAAGUCGAGCGCAGGAAACUGACGGAACUCUUCGGAGGGAAGGCAGUGGAAUGAGCGGCGGACGGGUGAGUAACACGUAAGGAACCUGCCUCAAGGGUUGGGAUAACUCCGAGAAAUCGGAGCUAAUACCGGAUAGUUCAACGGACCGCAUGGUCCGUUGAUGAAAGGCGCUCCGGCGUCCCCUUGAGAUGGCCUUGCGGUGCAUUAGCUAGUUGGUGGGGUAACGGCUCACCAAGGCGACGAUGCAUAGCCGACAUGAGAGGGUGAUCGGCCACACUGGGACUGAGACACGGCCCAGACUCCUACGGGAGGCAGCAGUAGGGAAUCUUCCACAAUGGACGAAAGUCUGAUGGAGCAACGCCGCGUGAGUGAUGAAGGUUUUCGGAUCGUAAAACUCUGUUGUAAGGGAAGAACACGUACGAGAGGAAAUGCUCGUACCUUGACGGUACCUUACGAGAAAGCCACGGCUAACUACGUGCCAGCAGCCGCCGUAA